ACAAAUAGCACAAUAAACAUCCUUCCAUAUGCUUCCUUGUGCAUAGGUGUGACUGCUUCUUUACACAUUUACAUCACAUGCUUUGUGCUGAAGUAUGUUAAGACCAUUUCUAUGAGACUCCUGAAGAAUACAGCAUCGGGGCAAAAGGACUAUAAAUUUACCAUCUGCUCUAAGACUUUUUGGCCAUAAAGACCGCAGUUAAAACUAUGUUAAUAGCUCAGUUCAGACAAGAAUGAUUCCUUAAUUUUCAUGUCUUAUAGGGUAAGUUAAUUAAAUCCAUUAAGGCUAUUUUAUCACUCCAUAGGCUACUCAGGUUU
rnacentral:lncRNA from 1 species